rnacentral:rRNA from 1 species
GGUGAGUAAUGCCUAGGAAAUUGCCUUGNUGUGGGGGAUAACCAUUGGAAACGAUGGCUAAUACCGCAUAAUGCCUACGGGCCAAAGAGGGGGAUCUUCGGACCUCUCGCGUCAAGAUAUGCCUAGGUGGGAUUAGCUAGUUGGUGAGGUAAUGGCUCACCAAGGCGACGAUCCCUAGCUGGUCUGAGAGGAUGAUCAGCCACACUGGAACUGAGACACGGUCCAGACUCCUACGGGAGGCAGCAGUGGGGAAUAUUGCACAAUGGGCGAAAGCCUGAUGCAGCCAUGCCGCGUGUAUGAAGAAGGCCUUCGGGUUGUAAAGUACUUUCAGUUGUGAGGAAGGGGGUAACGUUAAUAGCGUUAUCUCUUGACGUUAGCAACAGAAGAAGCACCGGCUAACUCCGUGCCAGCAGCCGCGGUAAUACGGAGGGUGCGAGCGUUAAUCGGAAUUACUGGGCGUAAAGCGCAUGCAGGUGGUUCAUUAAGUCAGAUGUGAAAGCCCGGGGCUCAACCUCGGAACUGCAUUUGAAACUGGUGAACUAGAGUGCUGUAGAGGGGGGUAGAAUUUCNGGUGUAGCGGUGAAAUGCGUAGAGAUCUGAAGGAAUACCAGUGGCGAAGGCGGCCCCCUGGACAGACACUGACACUCNGAUGCGAAAGCGUGNNGAGCAAACAGGAUUAGAUACCCU